rnacentral:rRNA from 1 species
UUAGGAAUCUUCCACAAUGGGCGAAAGCCUGAUGGAGCGACGCCGCGUGAGGGAUGAAGGCCUUAGGGUUGUAAACCUCUAAAAGAGGGACGAUAAUGACGGUACCUCUUGAAUAGCACCGGCUAACUCCGUGCCAACAGCCGCGGUAAUACGGAGGGUGCAAGCGUUAUCCGGAAUCACUGGGCGUAAAGGGCGCGUAGGCGGUCUGUUAAGUCCGAUGUUAAAUCCCGGGGCUCAACCCCGGAUAAGCGUUGGAUACUGGCAGGCUAGACGGUUGGAGAGGCGAGUGGAAUUACCAGUGUAGCGGUGGAAUGCGUAGAUACUGGUAGGAACACCCAUUGCGAAGGCAGCUCGCUGGACAACACGUGACGCUGAGGCGCGAAAGUGUGGGGAGCAAACC